GUGAAUCAUCGAAUCUUUGAAUGCACCUUGCACCCUUUGGCAUUCCGAAGGGUAUGCUCGUUUGAGUGUCAUUGUACUCUCACACUCCCACUCUUUUGGAGUGGAGUGGUGGACUUGGGUGUUGCUGCUUUACUGUGGCUCACCUCAAAUGGAGUAGUGCAACUCUCGGUUGGACAUAGUACGGCGUGAUAAGUAUCUUCGCCGGCGCCUCACUUGAGGGUGGCCGAUUGGGAGCUCUGUGCUUCAAACCGUCUUCGGACAAUCUCUGACAACUUGACCUCAAAUCGAGUAGGACUACCCGCUGAACUUAAGCAUAUCAAUAAGCGGAGG
rnacentral:rRNA from 1 species